UUACGGUUUUAAAACGCACACCAGUCGUCAGCUUCUAACAAUACAGCAGACUGAGUUAUAGUUAACACUUUUCUUGUGAUAUUGGAUUUGCAAUUCAUUAUUUACAUUUUGUCAAAAUGAAAUUAGUGUUUGCAGCAGUGUUGUGCAUUACUUUGAGCUUUCCGGGAAGAACAUAUGCAUAUUCUUGUUCAUUGCAGUGCCUUUUUAAUGCUUCAUAUUGCGUGAGCAGUUGUGCAGGAACGACAGACUUUUUGAAGUACUGGUCAUGUUACAGUCACUGUAAAACUAAGUGUACUAUUUGCUACACCCGUUGUCCAAAGCCACGAGGGAAAUAUUCAUGUAGAAUUUAAUGCUCAAUUUUAGGAUCUUCUUCCAUUUGAUUGUAUUUGGUUAGUUUGACUGAACUAUCUAGAUAUUAAAAUAAACAGCUUAAAUUUAA